GGGGUGCACUGCGUAGGGGACAGGGGUGCACUGCGUAGGGGACAGGGGUGCACUGCGUAGGGGAUAGGGGUGCACUGCGUAGGGGAUAGGGGUGCACUGCGUAGGGGACAGGGGUGCACUGCGUAGGGGAUAGGGGUGCACUGCAUGGAGAAUAUGGCAUCAUUUGAGACUGAUGUGUUGUGUAUUGGGUCAGAGAUUGGAACGUCAGAAUUGGCAGUGUAUUCCCUGUGCACUGUAUUAGGGUGCCAUUUCAGACAUCCCACUGUGAGCGAACCCAAGGACCAAAUAUUGAUGUCAUGACGAUAACGUGUUUCAACAUUUAUGCAAAUAUUUUGUUAGCCUGAUCCCAGGUCUGUUUGUGCUCUUGCUAACUACAAACUAAAGACUAUUUCCGUAAGGAGCAGAAACCGAUCCGGCUGUUUUUUGGUUCAGUAAAAUAAUGAAUAUAAAGUCGUAUCAUCUGUAAUCCAUGUUACUGAAAUAUGUUUUGGUUCUGUUUUCAUUCUUUUUAAUCAUAUUUAAAGUUGUCGUAACUUGAUUGUUGUAAUAUAAUGUUCAUUUUGAGGGGAGGGGGGAGGGGGGAGAAACUGAAUAAAAUGGCCAAACUCUCCUUCAAGACCCGUGUGUGCAGAGAUAAGCCUAUGAAAGUGCUUCAGUGGAUCCACAGUGCAUUACCGGUUUGUCCAGGACCAAGUUAACAAGCUGUUUCAUAUAAGAAAGUAAUGACCAGAAUGCAUUUUAGGGAAAGAAUAUAGAUUUUAUUAAAUGUAUUCAAUUGUGAGUUUGAUCAAUUCCAGUCCCGUUGCCGAGGGGAUCCGGGGUCCUCCCAGGGAUAACUUUUAUGUAGAAGGACUGAGAAGCUCAGUUCUGGGGACUUUUUGGAAAGAUGUUCUACUCUAAAAUGAACCUAUAGCCCAACUGAUGCAGCAUAGUGGCUAGAAAAGGUACAGAAGCCUGGGGUUGGUCUCACUUCCUGAUUGGUAUUAUAUUAUUAAAAGGUCCAGAAGCCUGGGGUUGGUCUCACUUCCUGAUUGGUAUUAUAUUAUUAAAAGGUCCAGAAGCCUGGGGUUGGUCUCACUUCCUGAUUGGUAUUAUAUUAUUAAAAGGUCUAGAAGCCUGGGGUUGGUCUCACUUCCUGAUUGGUAUUAUAUUAUUAAAAGGUCCAGAAGCCUGGGGUUGGUCUCACUUCCUGAUUGGUAUUAUAUUAUUAAAAGGUCCAGAAGCCUGGGGUUGGUCUCACUUCCUGAUUGGUAUUAUAUUAUUAAAAGGUCCAGAAGCCUGGGGUUGGUCUCACUUCCUGAUUGGUAUUAUAUUAUUAAAAGGUCCAGAAGCCUGGGGUUGGUCUCACUUCCUGAUUGGUAUUAUAUUAUUAAAAGGUCCAGAAGCCUGGGGUUGGUCUCACUUCCUGAUUGGUAUUAUAUUAUUAAAAGGUCCAGAAGCCUGGGGUUGGUCUCACUUCCUGAUUGGUAUUAUAUUAUUAAAAGGUCCAGAAGCCUGGGGUUGGUCUCACUUCCUGAUUGGUAUUAUAUUAUUAAAAGGUCCAGAAGCCUGGGGUUGGUCUCACUUCCUGAUUGGUAUUAUAUUAUUAAAAGGUCCAGAAGCCUGGGGUUGGUCUCACUUCCUGAUUGGUAUUAUAUUAUUAAAAGGUCCAGAAGCCUGGG